AACCGGAGGGAAACUCAAUGCACAGACCCUGAUUUGCAACUUGUAAUGUAAAUCAACUCAACUGCAUCAUGUACUUACCAGCCACCUUCUCCCAACUGUGGCCGGGGCCGAGAAGCAGCAUGUUCUGUCCAUCUGUAAAAGGCCUUCUUUCUCUCUUAAGACGUCACAACUGGUUGUUACUGAGAACUUUAGAAAAACGACUAGAUCGUUUGGCUCUUUCUGGGCCUUCCACCUACACUCCAUGCCCUCUCUCCUCCCAAGAAAACACGAAUUAAAAUACAGGGAGUAUCAACCGCAUCCUGCCAACAC
rnacentral:lncRNA from 1 species